rnacentral:rRNA from 1 species
CUCGUAGGUGGCCAACUAAGUCAGACGUGAAAUCCCUCGGCUUAACCGGGGAACUGCGUCUGAUACUGGAUGGCUUGAGGUUGGGAGAGGGACGCGGAAUUCCAGGUGUAGCGGUGAAAUGCGUAGAUAUCUGGAGGAACACCGGUGGCGAAGGCGGCGUCCUGGACCAAUUCUGACACUGAGGAGCGAAAGCCAGGGGAAGCAAACG